UACGUAGGGUGCGAGCGUUGUCCGGAAGUAUUGGGCGUAAAGAGCUCGUAGGCGGUCUGUCGCGUCUGUCGUGAAAACUUGGGGCUUAACCCUGAGCUUGCGGUCGAUACGGGCAUGACUGGAGUUCGGCAGGGGAGACUGGAAUUCCUGGUGUAGCGGUGAAAUGCGCAGAUAUCAGGAGGAACACCGGUGGCGAAGGCGGGUCUCUGGGUCGAUACUGACGCUGAGGAGCGAAAGCGUGGGGAUCAAACAGG
rnacentral:rRNA from 1 species